rnacentral:rRNA from 1 species
UACGAAGGGGGCUAGCGUUGCUCGGAAUUACUGGGCAUAAAGGGAGCGUAGGCGGACAUUUAAGUCAGGGGUGAAAUCCCAGAGCUCAACUCUGGAACUGCCUUUGAUACUGGGUGUCUUGAGUGUGAUAGAGGUAUGUGGAACUCCGAGUGUAGAGGUGAAAUUCGUAGAUAUUCGGAAGAACACCAGUGGCGAAGGCGACAUACUGGCUCAUUACUGACGCUGAGGCUCGAAAGCGUGGGGAGCAAACAGG